rnacentral:rRNA from 1 species
UGGGGAAUUUUGGACAAUGGGCGAAAGCCUGAUCCAGCAAUGCCGCGUGUGUGAAGAAGGCCUUCGGGUUGUAAAGCACUUUUGUCCGGAAAGAAAUCCUUGGCUCUAAUACAGUCGGGGGAUGACGGUACCGGAAGAAUAAGCACCGGCUAACUACGUGCCAGCAGCCGCGGUAAUACGUAGGGUGCAAGCGUUAAUCGGAAUUACUGGGCGUAAAGCGUGCGCAGGCGGUUUGCUAAGACCGAUGUGAAAUCCCCGGGCUCAACCUGGGAACUGCAUUGGUGACUGGCAGGCUAGAGUAUGGCAGAGGGGGGUAGAAUUCCACGUGUAGCAGUGAAAUGCGUAGAGAUGUGGAGGAAUACCGAUGGCGAAGGCAGCCCCCUGGGCCAAUACUGACGCUCAUGCACGAAAGCGUGGGGAGCAAACAGGAUUAGAUACCCUGGUAGUCCACGCCCUAAACGAUGUCAACUAGUUGUUGGGGAUUCAUUCCUUAGUAACGUAGCUAACGCGUGAAGUUGACCGCCUGGGGAGUACGGUCGCAAGAUUAAAACUCAAAGGAAUUGACGGGGUCAUAGCUGUUUCC